rnacentral:rRNA from 1 species
AGUGAACGCUGGCGGCAGGCCUAACACAUGCAAGUCGAGCGGAUGAAGGGAGCUUGCUCCUGGAUUCAGCGGCGGACGGGUGAGUAAUGCCUAGGAAUCUGCCUGGUAGUGGGGGAUAACGUCCGGAAACGGGCGCUAAUACCGCAUACGUCCUGAGGGAGAAAGUGGGGGAUCUUCGGACCUCACGCUAUCAGAUGAGCCUAGGUCGGAUUAGCUAGUUGGUGGGGUAAAGGCCUACCAAGGCGACGAUCCGUAACUGGUCUGAGAGGAUGAUCAGUCACACUGGAACUGAGACACGGUCCAGACUCCUACGGGAGGCAGCAGUGGGGAAUAUUGGACAAAGGGCGAAAGCCUGAUCCAGCCAUGCCGCGUGUGUGAAGAAGGUCUUCGGAUUGUAAAGCCCUUUAAGUUGGGAAGAAGAGCAGUAAGUUAAUACCUCGCUGUUUUGACGUUACCAAAAGAAUAAGCACCGGCUAACUUCGUG